UUUGACUAUGAUUUCGAAUCGAUAAAAAAAGUGGAAAGACUUAAAUUUGUUUUAUUGUUGUCACUAAGUGGUGAGCGAAUAUAAUUACUAUUAACUGUUGAUGAACUGCUCUCUGUGAAUGGUAUGGCAUUCUCUCUUACGAGAGUAGAAUCGCGACUGUUGUAUAGGCCACAGUGGCGAAGUACGGUUGUGAUAAUUAGUUUUCAACUGUUUUACCGUAUAUCGAACUAAAUUGUUUCUC
rnacentral:lncRNA from 1 species